rnacentral:rRNA from 1 species
GUCCACGCCGUAAACGAUGAUGACUCGACCUGUGCGGGGUUCAACCCCCGUGCGGGUCUCAGCUCACGCGGAAGUCAUCCGCCUGGGAAGUACGAGCGCAAGCUUAAAACUCAAAGGAAUUGACGGGGGCCCGCACAAGCAGCGGAGCGUGUGGUUUAAUUCGACGCAACGCGCAGAACCUCACCCAGAUUGGACAUGGCCCUGCAAGCCGGGGAAACCCGGUCGCCUUCGAGGGUGGGCCACCGGUGCUGCAUGGCUGUCGU